ACCCGCUGAACUUAAGCAUAUCAAUAAGCGGAGGAAAAGAAACCAACAGGGAUUGCCCCAGUAACGGCGAGUGAAGCGGCAACAGCUCAAAUUUGAAAUCUGGCCUCACGGUCCGAGUUGUAAUUUGCAGAGGAUGUUUCUGGCAAGGUGCCUUCCGAGUUCCCUGGAACGGGACGCCAUAGAGGGUGAGAGCCCCGUCCGGUUGGUCGCCGCGCCUAUGUGAAACCCCUUCGACGAGUCGAGUAGUUUGGGAAUGCUGCUCUAAAUGGGAGGUAUACGUCUUCUAAAGCUAAAUACUGGCCAGAGACCGAUAGCGCACAAGUAGAGUGAUCGAAAGAUGAAAAGCACUUUGGAAAGAGAGUUAAAAAGCACGUGAAAUUGUUGAAAGGGAAGCGCUUGCAGCCAGACUUGCCUGUAGUUGCUCAUCCGGGUUUUUACCCGGUGCACUCUUCUAUAGGCAGGCCAGCAUCAGUUUGGGCGGUUGGAUAAAGGUCUCUGUCAUGUACCUCUCUUCGGGGAGAACUUAUAGGGGAGACGACAUGCAACCAGCCCGGACUGAGGUCCGCGCAUCUGCUAGGAUGCUGGCGUAAUGGCUGU
rnacentral:rRNA from 1 species